rnacentral:rRNA from 1 species
UACGAAGGGGGCUAGCGUUGCUCGGAAUCACUGGGCGUAAAGGGUGCGUAGGCGGGUCUUUUAAGUCAGGGGUGAAAUCCUGGAGCUCAACUCCAGAACUGCCUUUGAUACUGGGAGCUCGAGUCCGGGAGAGGUGAGUGGAACUCCGAGUGUAGAGGUGAAAUUCGUAGAUAUUCGCAAGAACACCAGUGGCGAAGGCGGCUCACUGGCCCGGUACUGACGCUGAGGUGCGAAAGCGUGGGGAGCAAACAGG